AGACCCGAAACCCGGUGAUCUAGCCAUGGGCAGGUUGAAGGUUGGGUAACACUAACUGGAGGACCGAACCGACUAAUGUUGAAAAAUUAGCGGAUGACCUGUGGCUGGGGGUGAAAGGCCAAUCAAACCGGGAGAUAGCUGGUUCUCCCCGAAAGCUAUUUAGGUAGCGCCUCGUGAAUUCAUCUCCGGGGGUAGAGCACUGUUUCGGCUAGGGGGCCAUCCCGGCUUACCAACCCGAUGCAAACUGCGAAUACCGGAGAAUGUUAUCACGGGAGACACACGGCGGGUGCUAACGUCCGUCGUGAAGAGGGAAACAACCCAGACCGCCAGCUAAGGUCCCAAAGUCAUGGUUAAGUGGGAAACGAUGUGGGAAGGCCCAGACAGCCAGGAUGUUGGCUUAGAAGCAGCCAUCAUUUAAAGAAAGCGUAAUAGCUCACUGGUCGAGUCGGCCUGCGCGGAAGAUGUAACGGGGCUAAACCAUGCACCGAAGCUGCGGCAGCGACACUCAGGUGUUGUUGGGUAGGGGAGCGUUCUGUAAGCCUGCGAAGGUGGCCUGUGAGGGUUGCUGGAGGUAUCAGAAGUGCGAAUGCUGACAUAAGU
rnacentral:rRNA from 1 species